rnacentral:rRNA from 1 species
UACAGAGACCCCAAGCGUUAGGCGGAAUCACUGGGCUUAAAGCGUGUGUAGGCGGGAUGGUAAGUACCUUGUGAAAUCCCUCAGCUUAACUGGGGAACUGCGUCUGAGACUGGUGAGCUUGAGUGCAGGAGAGGAACGCGGAAUUCCAGGUGUAGCGGUGAAAUGCGUAGAUAUCUGGAGGAACACCGGUGGCGAAGGCGGCGUUCUGGACUGCAACUGACACUGAUGAACGAAAGCCAGGGGAGCAAACGGG